rnacentral:rRNA from 1 species
GUCUAUGGCUAAGCCACCUUGAACAAGCCCGAUCCCAUCUGAUCUCAGAAGCUGAGCAGGGUCGGGCCUACUUAGUACUUGGAUGGGAGACCACCUAGGAAGACCAGGUAAUUUAGGCA